rfam:Ictidomys tridecemlineatus contig016439, whole genome shotgun sequence.
GGGGUUGUAGCUCAGUGGUAGAGCGCUUAUCUAGCACAUGUAAGGCACUGGGUUCGAUCCUCAACACCA